GAACCUGAUAUGUUGAUUGCCACAUGCGAUGUGGAAUCCCUCUACACCUCAAUCAAACAUCACGAUGGGUUGGAGGCCACAGAAUUCUUCUUGAAAACUACGAGUAUGGGUGGCUCGCACGAAUGUGGAUUUUCUGGAUGUGAAGUUCCAGGUGGAUGAGACUGGUCAUCUGGGUACCAACCUAUAUCGUAAGGAAACCUCUGUAAAUGCAUUACUACAUGCAGAAUCUUCACACCCUGGCAACCUGAUAAAAAGCAUCCCAGUGGGACAGUUCCUGCGGGCGCGCAGGAUCUGUUCAUCGGAUGGGUUGUUCGAGAUACAAGCUGAAGAUCUGAGGAGAAGAUUCACAGAGAGGGGAUACAGUAACCGAUGUAUAGAGAAGGCAUACAGGAGAGCGCGUCUUUCGAAGAGAAGUGAUCUACUCUAUAAGAAACAUACUCAGCAGGAUUCUCAGCCGAUCAGGUUCAUCACAGGAUAUAACAGCAAAUGGAAAGAGAUGGAGAGAUGAAUGUUUGUUGCCCGCUGCAACUGACCCUGUUCGCGAUUAAGGAUUUAGGACAUUGGAAGGACCAUGUCAGGGAUACCACUGCCAUCCCCUUAGAUGGAUAACCCGAAACUAUGUUUAGAACUACUAUAUUGCAGUAUAUCGAUUUUAAUCUACUUUUGUAUCUUUGUAUUUGUGUAUUGACCCAUGGUGAUUAUAUAUGUAGCACAUCAUUUAUCUGGUUAUGCUAAUGUCCAGUCUUACCAUUUAUGAUUGUCCUGUAACUAAUAUCAGCAUGUAAAUAAUGCAUACUGCACCAUUAUUAUUUUUGCACUGCAUGAGCACCGAGCACUUUUUGCACUUGAGCACUUUUUAUACAUAUUAGGCUUUCCUAGUAUGCUAUGAGAUAUUUAUAUAUUCAUAUAUUUUAUAUAUUUAGGUUUGUAUAUAUGUUUUGAUGAAUUACAUAAAUCAUGCUCACU